AGACCCGAAACCCGGUGAUCUAGCCAUGGGCAGGUUGAAGGUUGGGUAACACUAACUGGAGGACCGAACCGACUAAUGUUGAAAAAUUAGCGGAUGACCUGUGGCUGGGGGUGAAAGGCCAAUCAAACCGGGAGAUAGCUGGUUCUCCCCGAAAGCUAUUUAGGUAGCGCCUCGUGAAUUCAUCUCCGGGGGUAGAGCACUGUUUCGGCUAGGGGGCCAUCCCGGCUUACCAACCCGAUGCAAACUGCGAAUACCGGAGAAUGUUAUCACGGGAGACACACGGCGGGUGCUAACGUCCGUCGUGAAGAGGGAAACAACCCAGACCGCCAGCUAAGGUCCCAAAGUCAUGGUUAAGUGGGAAACGAUGUGGGAAGGCCCAGACAGCCAGGAUGUUGGCUUAGAAGCAGCCAUCAUUUAAAGAAAGCGUAAUAGCUCACUGGUCGAGUCGGCCUGCGCGGAAGAUGUAACGGGGCUAAACCAUGCACCGAAGCUGCGGCAGCGAACGUAUCACCCAAGACAACUUUACGGAGUUGACGAUUGACGGAGCGAAGCGACGUCAAAGCGUUCAUUAAAGUCGAGUUG
rnacentral:rRNA from 3 species